GGACCUCAUGGUCGGGGGUCCCUUUACCUACGUAUAUGCGUUUCUAUCUAUGCAUUGGGUUGCCUACAUGGUGCCCUGUGGGCGCACAUAUGGCCACAGUGGUGUACCCCAGAGGCUACUGGGUUCUCUUCUUCCCUCCUCCCUCUGUUAAAUUUGACUUCUGUUGACUUGCAUGUCAAACAUUUGUACUUCUAAAUGUUCAAAAACUUUAAACACAGAAUAGGAAGUUAGACCCACAUUAGAGUAGGAACUCCUGUCUUUGGUGGUAAAUUUUAUUUUUAUUUUUAAAACAUUUGUACACCCACUGGAACAAAACAAACAAAAAAAGCCCAAAUAUGGAACAACCCUUCCCCUGUCCCACCCCCCUCUCAAUGACCACUUGGUGAAUACAGCUUGAGACGAAAAAAACAUGUAUGACAUGCUUAUGACUACACAGAAGAAAGCUCGAAUUGUUGGAUUGUCUUCUGUAGAAAAUCAUGUCCCAGAGCUGAAAAAAGGAUUGUGACAUACUUAGCUGCUCUUUAUUUGCUUUCACUUAAUGGACGCCAGACUGCAAAGAACUCCUUUAGUUGAGUUUCUCUUCUCCUUUGCCAAGUUUUAUGGUGAAAUUCAAUUUUUGUGCCAUAGCGAUGGUGUAUAGUCUAUGUUGCCAUGCACCAAAGGCUAAAGUAAAAUCUGCCAGUUAGCAGUUUUUGACACUCUCCAAUCUAGCUGCCAGCAGC